rnacentral:rRNA from 1 species
GACGGAGGAUGCAAGCGUUAUCCGGAAUGAUUGGGCGUAAAGCGUCCGCAGGUGGCAGUUCAAGUCUGCUGUCAAAGCCGGGGCUUAACUUCGGAAAGGCAGUGGAAACUGAACAGCUAGAGUAUGGUAGGGGCAGAGGGAAUUCCUGGUGUAGCGGUGAAAUGCGUAGAGAUCAGGAAGAACAUCGGUGGCGAAAGCGGCGCACUGGACCAUAACUGACGCUGAUGCGCGAAAGCUAGGGGAGCAAACAGG